rnacentral:rRNA from 1 species
CCUACGGGGGGCAGCAGUGGGGGAUAUUGCACAAUGGGGGAAACCCUGAUGCAGCGACGCCGCGUGGGUGAAGAAGUAUUUCGGUAUGUAAAGCCCUAUCAGCAGGGAAGAAAGAAGACGGUACCUGACUAAGAAGCCCCGGCCAACUACGUGCCAGCAGCCGCGGUAAUACGUAGGGGGCGAGCGUUAUCCGGAUUCACUGGGUGUAAAGGGAGCGUAGACGGCCGUGCAAGCCAGGAGUGAAAGCCCGGGGCCCAACCCCGGGACUGCGCUUGGAACUGUGCGGCUGGAGUGCGGGGGGGGCAGGCGGAAUUCCUGGUGUAGCGGUGAAAUGCGUAGAUAUCAGGAGGAACACCGGCGGCGAAGGCGGCCUGCUGGACCGCGACUGACGUUGAGGCUCGAAAGCGUGGGGAGCGAACAGGAUUAGAUACCCUUGUAGUC